UUAUUAGAUUAACCCAAUAAAUUUCAUUCACUCCGCAUACUCAAUCCUAUAGACACCCUUUUAAUCCUUCAAUCACAGACAUAACUCGAUUUCAUAAAACAGUCAAAAGUAUUCAAACACACUUCAUUUAAAAAUCUCGAUUCACCAUUACAACACUGACUUCAGCAGCGAUUACCUCAGUCUUCCCCAAAACUCUACGAAGAAGAAAAAUCCAAAUCCUAUGUCUUUCCUUCCCUGACCCAAAGCAUGAAGCUCCUCUCUCUAAUUCCCUUGAUCUUCAAAAAACCCCCAAUGAAAAACCGAACUGGUAACCUUGCAGAAGCUUGAAAAACUAGCUCCCCCCUCGAUUUCCCUCAAAAGAAAAUUAUCCCCUCUUAAAACUAUAUCCCCCCUAACCUUAUCCUCUGAAUUUCUUCAAUCUUCCGUCUUAGAUCCGGAAUUGGCUCCCACGUCAAGCUUGGAUCCGAAAUUGGCUCUCGCCGUCAAGCUUCCUCCUCCGUUUUUACCUUUAAGAAAUCCAUUUACCGAAAACAACGUUCCCUGAAACGGCACAGAGAACAGGACAGCCUGAAACAGAAUCGAAUCCCGUAAUCGGGACCACAUUGAGUCGCCCGACCAAUUCAGGUCUUAUAUUGGAAAUGAUACCCGUAGUAACUUGGAUGUUCCCGUAAUUGGGUCAAAUUGGUCCUCGCGUCAGAUUGACUAAGACCCGUAGUAAGACCUGGAUUUCCCGUAACUAGGUCAAAUUGGUCCUCGCGUCAGAUUGGCUAAGACCCGUAGUAAGACCUGGAUUUCCCGUAAUUAGACUGCACUGCAUUGACCGGCAAAUUCAAGUCUCAUAUUGGAUAAGAGGACCCGGAUUGGAUUAUCGAAAUUGGAUCCAAUUGGCUCCUCGAACCCGUCGUGUGAAUUGGUCCUUCUCUUCCUGCUGACUCCCGUUAUUGGAAUCGAAUGGGGCAUUUCAGUAUGCCCCGGCUGAUUGUAACAUAGUCACUGAACCUGACCACUCAGUAUUUGUCUUGGAGUUGGUCGAUGUUCCCAAUAUUCAAGGUAACUGAAUAUUAAUAAAAUUCCCCUUUCUUUUUAAUUUCACUGUAUAAUCGUGUUACAACACGACAUCCACCCCCUCUGAACCUGUGCAUCCUCCGAUAUGCACCAAUUUACCCAAUCGCUGUUUGAUUCAGAAUAUAUCUCCUACGUCUUUGUCUAGUUCGUCUUCGUCACCUUCAUUAUUCAUAUCACUUUCAUCUUCUUGCUGCGGAAUCUCUAUACCUUCAUUAAGGUCUUCAAUAUUCAUCUCUGCGUGUCUUCGUUUAAAUAUUUUUACUCGCUUCCCUGCAAUUGGUAUUUUCAAUUUUGUACCAUCUAACUCCCGUAAUGAGUAAGUCGCAUUAUCAUGAACAGUUGUUACAACAUAUGGUCCAAACCAACGUUUUGAAAAUUUCCGCAAAGUACUAUGUUGAUUAUCCAGACUAUUGUCAUAAACAAGUACCCAGUCACCUUCCUCGAUUGCUUUUGGUCUCAAUCAAUGUUGCUUAUCGAAUCAUGCCUUGUUUUGUAACCUUGCUCUAUUUAACCUUUCCAAUGCUAUCUGGACAUCUUCCGUUCUUUGUUCCAAUUGUCGAAUCCUAAUAGCCAGAAGUUCUUAUCUUGUCAAUCUAACUUCCCAUGGUAGCAUACUCCAAGUAAGUACCUUUUCUUCAAUCGGCAUAAUUGGUUUUUGAACUGUCAUAAGUUCUACUGGCAUAUAUCCUGUCACCGAACUAUAUGUUGUUCGAUCAGCCCAUAAUGCAAAUGACAAAAGCCGUGGCCACUCUUUAACCUUCCCAUUACAAGCUUUAAUCAAUGCUUUCACAAUCGGUGGGUGACCGCGUUCGCUUUUCGCAUUCCCUUCCGGAUUAUAAGCAAUAGUCAGCGAUAGUUUAACUCCACAUCUUUCAAAGAACUUACGAGCUUCUUGUGCAUUUAAUUCUCCACGAUCUGCAGUGAUUUUUUCUACGCACCCGUAACGGCAAAUGACAUCUUCAAGCAAAAACCUACAAAUCCCCUCUGUAGAUUUUGUCCUCAAUGCUCUUCCUUCUACUUGAUUUGAUAAAUCUUCAUGAGCUAAAACCAAAUAUCUCAUCUGCCAUAAUCCAACCGGCAUAAUAACCAAAUCAACAACCCAUUUAAAAUGAAUAGCCAGAGGAUACGUAGGAUGAAGACCAUCUCGAUGUUGGAUAUUAGAAUACGAUUGACAGAUUUCACAUGACUCUACAAAUGAGAGCACAUCUCGAUACAUAUUUUUCCACCAAUAUCGUUCCUUGAGUUUAGCAAAAGUAGCCCAGAUUCCUCUAUGCCCUGCCCAUAAACUAUCAUGAAACUCCUUUAAUAAUUUUAGUUUUUCUUUCCUUUUGCCUAUCACUCGUUGUGGCAUCCCAAUUCCUUUCUUCGGUCUCUUCCAUAAGAAUCCAUCUCGAAGUAAAAAUCCAUAUGUUUUUUUUCUUAUUUGUUUGAAUUUUUCUGUAGACCAAUUCCCCUGCUUAGACAAGGUAUUCAAAUAAUGACCAAUAUCCAAUAAUUCUCCUUCAUAAGAUUCUUCAAGAAAUAGCUUGUCUUCUCUGUUGAGAUUUGAUAUUGAAUAGAAUUUCAAUCCGACAUCAUCAAUGUCUUCAACCAUUUCGUCCUCCCUCUCGUAUCUUGCUCGAGAUAGCAUGUCUGCUACGAAAUUGUCCUUUCCAGUGAUAUGCUUAAAUUCUGGAUUUAGUGACUUAAUAUAAGCAAUCCAUCUCAACAUUGCAAUAUUUGGCGUUGAACAGUUAAUAAUCAUUCCAAGCAAUGGCAAGCAAUCUGUUUCAAUUACUACUACUGCCCCAAUCAAAUAGUCCUUUUCAGCUUUCAUAGCCGAAACGACUCUCCAAAGUUCUCUUUUGACUUGCGAAUAUGCACGCUAACGAAUACUUAAAACUUUAGCCCCAAAUCGAACUGCAAAUCUACUCCCAUUCGAAUCAUCUUGACCCACCGCCCAUCCAACGGCAAUUGGACUAGCGUCUACAGUAAGAAUCACUGGUCUAUUGCACUUAUAAUCAACCUUCCUCAAUAUUGGAGGUGACAUCAAUAAUUUCUUCAAUCUUUGCAUUGCCUGAAUAUGCCUUUCUUUCCAUUCAAAUCGGUAACCCUUGCGUAACAGUUCAUAUAAUGGAUCUGCUAUGUGAGCAAAAUGAGGGAUCCAGAUUCGAUAAAAUACACAUGCACCCAAAAACCUGCGAACCUCUGUUAAAGAACCACAAUCCUCUUUCAUCCUUCCAAUUGCAUCAACUUUAGUCGGAUCUGGUUUUCUUCCGUAAGAUCCGCAUAAAUGUCCAACAAUUACAACCUCUCGCACUCCAAAUACGGACUUCAUACCCGAUAAUGUAAGAUGAACUUCUCCAAGCCGAGUUAAAAUCUUUUCACAAUCUUGUAUAUGAUCAACAACAUAUCUGCGACACCCCCUCGUAUCUAAAGUUUCAUCCUUGUCUCCUUCUCUGCACCCCUUUAUAGGAACAUCAUCCAGAAAAGGCAUAGUCUUUUCCAGGAUAAAAUCUCUCAAUACCUUAUUCAUCCCAUUCAUCAUAUGCGCAACUGAGUUGGUCGCACCUUGAGGAAGAGUGCACAUUCUAACCAAUCCAAGCGGUGUCCUCAUCGUUGUCAUAUCUCUACUUCCUUCGGCAAGUUGAAAUUGAUCAUAACCUGAAUACAAAUCACCCAUUGAAUAGAUCGCCCUUCCAGCAAACGCCUCAGCAAAUUCAUCCACAAUAGGUCCAAUUCCUGCAUUCCUAACAGUUACAGCAUUCACCGGCUGCAUAUCUUGAAUAAACCGCAGUGACCCAUUCUUCUUAGGUACCGUAAACCAUCGACUAGAAUACGGCGCAAAUGAAGGUUCUAAUAUUUUCAUCUUUAUCUUUUCUUUCAAUAGUUCCACCAAUUUAGUUAAAUGUGCCCUCGGUACUGGAAUCGGUCUUAGAUUCCAAGGUACAUGCGGUACAGUGAAGAUAACCAUAGAUGUUAUAAUAUUUGGAUCCACACACCCAAUUUCAUGAGAUUCAAAGGCAAACGAUCUACCUUGUUUAGCCAACAUCUUUUCGAAGCAAGUAAUUUCCUUCGGCAAUAAAGAACCAUCAGAACCAAUCUUCAAUUCUUCAAAAGUCUCUUUAGUAAAUUGAUGUCCAAUACUCAUUGGAUCUCUUAAACUUGGUUCUUUUGAUGCUUCUCCCAUUUUUUCUUUAGAAUCCUUUGGUAAUGGUCCGGCAACAGGCUUUAUCUUCUUAUCUGCCGUUUUAUAUCUUGUCUCUACUAUGACUUCUGGUGCUUGAAAAGAUUCAAGCAUGGUAUAAACUUCUCUCGAAUGAAUCUCAACAAUCUUAUCAUUAUCCCCUAACCCAAUAGAUGUAAUCAAUUCCAAUGAAUCUUCCAGCCCAUUUUCUUCAUAAACACCCAAAAUCCUCUCAUCAUCUUACAAUGUACCUAUCUUGCGUAACUGUCCUUCAAUAUCAUAUAAUCUUUUUCUUUCUUUCCUUUUAAAAUCAUCAACUUUCUUAUACAUAAUAUUUCCAUUCUCCAAUAUACCAAUAAAACUCGCAUCAAAGGCACCUUCAUCUCGCGAGAGUACCUCCUCUUUUGUACCUCCAUAAUCUUGCUUUACAGUGGUACAUCCCCAAAAUCCUUAAAUCCUUCAACAAUCUUUGGCAAUGGUUUCUCCCUCAACCUAUCUCGAUUCCGUUCAUGGUUAGGAGGUACUGUUAGAAAUUGUACAGCUUUCCUCCCAUCUUCGCUCCGUACCCUUGCAUAAGCAGAACCAUCGUCAAGUACCUUUGUUUCCAUCCAUGUUGUCGUGAUAUAAGGAUGUCCUAAAAUCAACGGAUGAGACGUUGUAUCUUGAAUGAAGAAAUGUUGCUCCAUCGCAACAUCCCCAAUCCGAAUUUUGACAUCUAGACAAGCUCCAUAUAAUUCACCUCGUGUAUUAUUAGCUGCUCGUAUUGCCCAUCCAUGUUCCAUAUCAAUUGGCCAUUUUUGCUUCUUAUAAAGAUCUUUAGACAUGAGAAUUAUUUCAGAACCAUGGUCCACCAAAGCAACUAUUGGUUCCUCUAUAUCUCCUACCUUCACCAAUACCUCAGUAGUUGCCCUUGCCCAAUGCUUUCGAGUAUAAUGGCUCAAUGUUUCCAUUCCCUUAUCACUAGAAUCUUCGAAACGUACUCGCUGAUUAUAGCCAUUCUUUUCAUUUGUUGGUUGCUUGUAACCAAUAUCAACCUCUUCUUCAUCUCUACAUAUUCUUGCGUCAAUAGCAUGACUCAUUCCAGUUUCGCUCAUUAAUUGCCUCUUUUGCUUAAUGCUGUCAUUGAUAACAUCAUGAAACUCCUUCUUUGCUAUUCCCAAGACUUCUUUCAAUGUGAAUUCCACCUUAGCGUUUAAUAUACGUUCUUCCAACACCCCUUUUAAAUUUGUUGCCGCUUCAAUAUCAGAAAGUAGCUUAUAAGCAAUUGAUUUGCUCUUAUCUUUUGUCUCCGUUGUUUUUUCUCCCAAUGAUGCUGAGGUAUCCUUUACAUGCAAUUCUUGUGAAGCUCCCUCUCGAGCCUUGUCUCCUCGAGUUUGCCUCUUAAAAGAAUUUCCUUCUCUAGUAUCAUCAAAAUUUCCUGGUCUUUUUUCUUCCAUCAAAGCUUCAUGUUGGCUCUUAGCAAUAUAUGCAUGAACUGAAAGAGACUCAACAGGAUCCUCCCAACCUGUUCUUCCUCGUAUUGUAGUUGCAGUUCUCAAUAAUGCUUCUCGAGGUAAUUUCCCUUCUUGCAUUGUAGAAACGGCAGAAGCCCAAAACUCACUAGUUUCCGUACUUCCAUCAAUUUCAUCAUCUACUCUAGCACCAUAACUUGCACUUUCUCGUACUACUGUUUCAUGCUCUUUUAAGUAAUCUUGAACCAAUGCUCUCAUUCCUCCCUUGCCAAAAUUGGUUUGAAGAAGAUCCUCCCUAUCUUUCAAUGCUAUCUUCCCAUCUUUCCAGCAAAUAAUUCCCUGCCGUAUCAUAUUAUUAAAUUCAUUGCAAUCUUUUCUAGUGUGUGAAGCAUCAUCACACCAAAUGCAUCUUUGUACAUAUCCUUGUUUUGAAACAUUCUUCGAAUUGUUUAUAGAAGUAUUCUCUUCAAGUCUUGCCAAUUUGAUUUGAAGAUCUCGCAUUCCUCAUAUAAUUUCUUCCAUACCCAUAUCUGCUUUCUUUGACAAGGAUGUCGAAGGUUGAACUGUAGGCAUUGUCGGUGGUGUAGUACGUACUGGAGCUUUGGGUGCUUGUACUGUUUUCGGAAUAUUGCUCCUAUCCUUCCUCCUUUCUUUUUUUGUAAGCAACCCCAUCGCAUCUUCAACGUUCUUCCACUUCGUUGUCAAUCCUUCAUCUUCUUCUUUGUCUUCAAGAAGGGAUUCUAAUUUCUCUUGUAAUUCUCCAUCAGCAGCUUGAAGAAAUAGAUCAACUUUGUUCGGCUCCAAUGUCAAUUUUUCUACCUUCGAUAAUUGAGAGUACUGCCUCUCAAAUUCCCUUAGUAGCUCUGUUGCUUGCAAAUUCUUAUUGGGCCGUUCAAUCCAUCCCAGAAACAGCUUCUUAGUAACGCGAUCACCAUCUUCCAAGAAAUAUUUGUCUUUCAAUGCAUGUGAAAAAUCCUCCCAUGAAUUCCCACAACGAUCCGUAAUUGAUGUAAUGUGGUCCCUUAUCUCUGGUAUCGUGGCAAGUCCAAAUAGUGCAACCAUUUUCUUCUCAGAAACCCGAUUUAAUUCUAUUUCACGAACAUAACAUCUUAAAUACCUUAGAAUAUUCCUCCCAUCAAAUUGAUCAAUUUUAUUGACCACUACUUGCAAUGCUUUGGUUGCCAAAGCUUCCUUUCGAUCAUUGCUUUGUUGUUGCUGCAUUGACAAUGAGAAGGCUUGAAACAAACUAGCAAUAGACGGAUCCAUGUGCAUACCUUGUCCUUAAGAAGACUCCCCACCAGCAACUUCUCCCAAAAAUCCUUCAAAAUUUUUAUUUUCGUUUUCCAUAAAAAUAAAGAUAAAAUCAACCCAAAUCCAAUACCUUCUACCUCAAGCUUUCACGUCGGGUUCACCACUUAUGUCGUAUUACGUGCUUUCCUGCUCGAGAACGCACCAGACGUAUGGCUGUAGAAGGUAGUAUGGAGAUUCGCCGAUAGUCAAGCAGUCUAUCAGUUUUUGACUACUGGAAUAUAAACGACUGCAACAAUGUACCGUAAAUCUAUACGGGUGCUCUUCGACUGCUUCUCGAAGUUCUUUUUGCCCCAGCCGGUAGGUCUCUAGACGUUACAGAGAACCCCAUACAAUUCAAACUGUUAACCUUCAAUACUACUUUGUACUUACGAUCUUGUAUCCACUGAUUGUCUUAUUAGAUUAACCCAAUAAAUUUCAUUCACUCUGCAUACUCAAUCCUAUAGACACCCUUUUAAUCCUUCAAUCACAGACAUAACUCGAUUUCACAAAACAGUCAAAAGUAUUCAAACCCACUUCAUUUAAAAAUCUCGAUUCACCAUUACAACACUGACUUCAGCAGCGAUUACCUCAGUCUUCCCCAAAACUCUACGAAGAAGAAAAAUCCA
rnacentral:lncRNA from 1 species